UUUGACCACCAGAUCUCCUCAGCGUGUCAUCCUUAAAGUCGGGUUUGCCGAGCCUCGAUUUUGCCUUCAUACAAUGGGCAGAAGUUGGAUUGUUGAUGGUAGAGCUAUUGCAUGAAAGGUUGAAACCUGUAGUCUGCCUUUGGUAAAUUAAAUCAAAGACUGGAACAAUUCAGGAUUGACCACGACGCCAUUUCAGGAUUGAUAGUAGUGAUGUAUUAGUAGAGUAGUGGCAUGGGCUUCCCAUUGGUGUGAAAUUUGAACCCACUGAUCUGAUCUUGAGCUCUUAGAACAUUUGGCAGCCAAAUUUGGUGUGGGGAAUCAAAAACCACACCCCAUCAAUUGAUGAGUUCAUCCCUACACUUGAUGUAGAUGAAGGAAUAUGUUCGAAACAUCCUGAAAAUCUUCCUGAUGAGAAGAGUGCUUAUGAUGCAAUGUUUUCAACAAUUAGUAGAGCUGGAAUACUUGGCGGAUUGGGCAAUUGGUGAAAAUGGGAAACCUUUUUGCAACAAGUCAGGAUAGUGAUGUUGAGAAAAUAUUAUAUGGACUCAGCUAUAUAAGAGCAACUAAUGCAUCAUUGUUGGGGGUGAGAUGGACAAACUUGCAAUUGAAGAACAAGGUUUAAAGAACCGUGGUGUUCCUAAAAAAGUUUGUUACAAGGAUUUACCAUCUCAAAAACAGGUAACAAAAUGUGAAAGCCAAAUAGAAGCUAGCUGGACAACA